rnacentral:rRNA from 1 species
AAAUUGAAGAGUUUGAUCAUGGCUCAGAUUGAACGCUGGCGGCAGGCCUAACACAUGCAAGUCGAACGGUAACAGGAAACAGCUUGCUGUUUCGCUGACGAGUGGCGGACGGGUGAGUAAUGUCUGGGAAACUGCCUGAUGGAGGGGGAUAACUACUGGAAACGGUAGCUAAUACCGCAUAACGUCGCAAGACCAAAGAGGGGGACCUUCGGGCCUCUUGCCAUCGGAUGUGCCCAGAUGGGAUUAGCUAGUAGGUGGGGUAACGGCUCACCUAGGCGACGAUCCCUAGCUGGUCUGAGAGGAUGACCAGCCACACUGGAACUGAGACACGGUCCAGACUCCUACGGGAGGCAGCAGUGGGGAAUAUUGCACAAUGGGCGCAAGCCUGAUGCAGCCAUGCCGCGUGUAUGAAGAAGGCCUUCGGGUUGUAAAGUACUUUCAGCGGGGAGGAAGGGAGUAAAGUUAAUACCUUUGCUCAUUGACGUUACCCGCAGAAGAAGCACCGGCUAACUCCGUGCCAGCAGCCGCGGUAAUACGGAGGGUGCAAGCGUUAAUCGGAAUUACUGGGCGUAAAGCGCACGCAGGCGGUUUGUUAAGUCAGAUGUGAAAUCCCCGGGCUCAACCUGGGAACUGCAUCUGAUACUGGCAAGCUUGAGUCUCGUAGAGGGGGGUAGAAUUCCAGGUGUAGCGGUGAAAUGCGUAGAGAUCUGGAGGAA